CUUUAUCGACAAGUCCGCGGUCACACUGCGCGGACGACCAAUUUAUUGAUUCUCUUUGAUAAAAAAGUGGGUAAAACUGUGCAGCGCGGGGGAGAUCACGUCUUUCGGUCGCAUUGGAACGCAGCCCACACCACCUGCCCCAAGUACUUAAACUACAUUGCCGACACCUGCCCCCUCCCCGCCUACGACCCCACAAUAAUUGACACUGUCCGCCAGGGACGAUACCGAAAAUGGUGGACGCUGCCAGGCAAAUGCUCGAUGAGCUAAUGGGCCGCAAUCGGAACCUGCAUCCUUCGGAGGCAGGACUCAAGGUGAACUGGGAAGAUCCAGAGUUUUGUCAGUUCUACAAUGUAAAGUUCUGCCCGCACGAUCUCUUUAUCAACACACGUGCCGACCUCGGCCCCUGCGCCCGCAUUCACGACGAGGAGGCCAAGCAUCUGUACGAGGAGGCGCGUCCGGCCCGCAAGCGCCAGUACGAGGAUGAGUUCCUGCGCUUCUGCAACGUGAUGCUGCACGAUGUGGACCGCAAGAUUCAGAAGGGCAAGCAGCGUCUGCAGCUAAUGCAGCGCGAUCAGCCGGCGCCAUCGCUGCAGGUGAGCAAGCACCAGGACCAGCUGAACACUCUGAAUGGGCGCAUCAACAAGCUGCUGGCGGAGGCCGAAGAGGCCGGCAUCCGCGGUGACGUUGACCAGGCCAAGGACCUGAUGACGCUCUGCGAUGAGGUCAAGGAGGAGAAGGAGCAGCUGCUGCAGCAGUACGAGGCCAGCCGCAAGGCAAACAGCAAGAUGCUCGCCUCGGACCCGAACAGCGCGGACGAUCCCAUGGCCAGUCCCGGGACAAGCUUCAGCGAUGUUCCAGCGAUCCACAACAGCACCCCUACACCAGCCACAAACCCAGCCGCCAGUGAUUUGGCUGAGGAAGCAGCAGCAGCAGCAGCAGCAGUGACAGGAAAAGCCUCCCCAACCGAAGUGGACGCAGAGGCAACUGGCGGUGGAGCGGCAGCUGGAGCCGAUGCGGAGGACAAGCCAGACAAUACAGACAACAAAUCGCAGUCAAAUUGGUCGCACGAGGCCCUGCCCGAGAAGCAGAUGAAGGUGUGCGAGAUCUGCGGCGCCUUUCUGAUCGUUGGCGAUGCCCAGCAGCGCAUCGAGGACCAUCUGAUGGGCAAGCAGCAUCUGGGCUACUCGAAGGUGCGCAACGCGGUGGCCGAAAUCAACGAUGAGCGGCAGAAGGAGCGCGAUCAGGAGCGUGAGCAGGAACGCGAGCAGGAGGAGCGCAGGCGCCGCGAGGGUCGGGGCCAGCGCUUCAACUCCUACGACAAUAGACGCGAGCCGCGCGAGUAUCGGGAGCGCAGUCGCGAGUAUGCCCCGAACCGUCAGACCUCAGACAGGCGCCACCAUCACCACAAGUCGCACCACGGCCACUCGUACUCGCGCAGCGGCAGCAACAGCAACAGCAGCAACCGUAGCAGGCACCACAAUCACAGCCACUAUCGGCAGGAUAGCCGCGAGCGGCAUGGCCGCAGUCGCAGCCGCAGUCGCUACUAGAGACCAAAACAGAAGCAGAAACAGAAGCAAAAGCAGAACAAAACAAAGAAGAAGCUGCAGCAGAAGCAGAAGCACACCAAAAUCCGAGAACUCAGCCGUCACUGCGCGGUCCUUUGUAGCUAAACCCCCGCCCCCCGAAUGUACCCAAUGCAUCCAACGCGCAUCCACAACCAGCACGCCCGAGUCCACGUCCCAUCGCUGCUGCUGCGGCGAGCACACGAAACACACAAACCGCAAACCGAAACCGAAAGAGAAAGAGAAAGAGAAGAAGCAAACACCACCAUCGAGGUACCCCAAAACAAUAAUUAACAAAAAUUUCAAGUAAUAUGUAUCAGAACAGUAAACAAAAAAAAAAAAAGAAAAAAAAGAACAGAGCAGAAACAGAAUCAGAAGAGAGUGAGAAUGAGCUGAGAGCGUGAGCUGGCAGGCGAGAUCAGAGAUCCUUGCCAGAGCAUGGAUCCACCAAUGAGGAGGGACAUUCGGAAUGCUCUAGAACUGGAACUGGCUUUGGAAUGGAUCUGUGGUCAAGAGAGGCAAAAAAAGAUAGAGAGAGAAAAAGAGAAAGAGAGAGGAAGAGAGAGAGAGAGAGAUGUAUAGAUAGAAAGAAGAGCCAACCAGGUAACUUCUAUGCCACACCUCCCCCCCACACAUAAAUGUUUCUUCACGACAGACAAGGCCGCGGCAUCGCUCCAUCCAUGAACCUCAACCACGAACCACGCACGCACUCUGCUGCCAUCCACGAUCCACGAUCAACAAACUGUCCACCAAGCCAUCUCUGAUCCCGGAAGAGAGCGAGAGACACAUCGCAUAGAACAGUUAUUAGAGACAAACGAGGUGAAUUUCUAUUUCUCUCAUCACUAAAUAUACAUAUAUAUAUAGCCCUCGACCCUGACCUCCCCCACCACGCAUCUUCCACGCUGUCUCCCCAGUCUAUGCCCAACGACUGGCCUUCACAGGCGGCACCAGACCAGAUCUUCUAUGGAGCAAGUCCAUAGGCUAAAAGCCCUUUCCCUUUCUGAUCUCUGGUGCGCUUGUGAAUGCUUGAGCGAGGGAGCGCCUUUCUCCAAACCCAACUGCAACUAUUCAACUUUCCCUUUCAAUUCAAUUGAGUCCCCACCCAGCCCAUCAGUUCGUGGCAAAGCGCAUCCCCAUAUUCCCAUUCUGUCCCCAAAAAGGAAUGAUCAAGUUUGAGGACACUUAUGUAGAGCCUAACGAAUCAAUAAUUAUUUAUCUAACCAUCGAUCGAUCGAACGCCCUGUAGUCAUGUAAAGAUGUUUUUAAGUAUGAUUUACGUACGCUAUGAGUAAGGAUACAACAUUCUAAAUAGUGAGACUCGCAAUAAUUUUCUAAAUAAAGAUCAAAACGAAUCCCCAAAAACAA